ensembl:snRNA Gm25411 predicted gene, 25411
AUGAUUAUCUGUCAAAGAGGAUACUAUGAUCAGGAAAGUUUCCCCAAUGCCAGCCUCCUCCAUUGUACUUGGGAUGUGCUGACCCUAGCAAUUUCCCCAAGGGUGGGAAACUCAACGAAAUAAUAUGUGGUAGUAGGAAACUGACUCCUGA